rnacentral:rRNA from 1 species
UACGAAGGGGACUAGCGUUGUUCGGAAUCACUGGGCGUAAAGCGCACGUAGGCGGAUAUGUCAGUCAGGGGUGAAAUCCCGGGGCUCAACCUCGGAACUGCCUUUGAUACAGCAUAUCUUGAGUCCGAUAGAGGUGGGUGGAAUUCCUAGUGUAGAGGUGAAAUUCGUAGAUAUUAGGAAGAACACCGGUGGCGAAGGCGGCCCACUGGACCGUAACUGACGCUGAGGCGCGAAAGCGUGGGGAGCAAACAGG